CCCCUAAUCCCUGUGUGUUAUCUUGACAAUUCCAAUCUUUACGUUGAGCUCAUGGAAAUGAACUCGCCCGGGAGAUUUCGUCAGAAUGUCUGCCCUCUGCUCGCCGGUUCCGAUGAACUCCACGAUAACCGAGCCCUUCUCCACUGUAUCGUAUGAAAUGGUAGGGCAGAUCAAUGUGCUUUCUUCGGUCGUGAAGCACCCGGAUUUUUGCAGAGCGAGAUGGCGGAUUGUUGCCGAUGCAGAGUGUAGCAGGGUCGGUGUUCAGAAGCUCGCCGGGGAGACGAGCCAGCCAGAUCCCUUGGCCGCUGUCGUAGCCACCACAAUGUUCUCUGCUUCGCACGAAGAGGUGACGACAACCUUUUACUUCUGCGAUUGCUAGCUCACCGGACUGUUGCAAAGGAAGAAUAGCACUCACCAUACUGUUGCCGAGGAAGAAUAGCAUGCCUGAGGUGCUUUUCUGGAGUCCACAUCGCUGGUGGGGUUCGAGUCGCUGUAGCCAAUCAAGGUCUCACCGUUGCCGCGGAGAUAUAUGCAUUUGUGCGUGAGUGUGCCAGCGAUGUAACUGAGCAGAUGCUUGACCGCCACGAGAUGGUCGCUGGCUAGCGCCUCCAUGAACCUGCUUAGGAACCCGACUGGGAACUCGAUGUCUGGUCGGGUGUGUACCAAGUACCUAAGGCUACCGAUGACACUGCGGUAGAACUUCGUGUCCACUGGCCUCUCCUUGUUCUCCCUGCUGUUGCAGCGGGCCUUCAUCAGGGUGUGUGUGGCGUUGCAGUCCGCCAUGCCCACUCAUUUGAGCAGCUUGCUGGCAUAGGCGACCUGGGUGAUUGUACAUCCGUCUACGCUCCUGAUUCACCUCCAGACUAUGGUGUAGCACCUUGAGGUUACUUAUGCUGAAGAGCUGCUUCAUUUCUUCCUUGAAGCAGCGCAUGUCGUGUUGCUCAACUCCGGUGAUGAUAAGGUCGUCGACGUAGAUGCCGACAAUUAGUUGUGCGUCCCUGGUCCCUCGCGCGUACACACCGUGCUCCAGGCGCUGCGCGUGUAGCUGAGCGAUGCCAAUCUCGUGUCUAGCUUGGCAUUCCAUGCCCUCUGUGCUUGCCGCAGCCCGUAUAGGGCCUUGUGUAGCCUGUACAUGCCGUAAUCAUGAUGGUCGGCGGUGAAGCCCGACGGUUGAGACACUUGAACCUCCUCCUCAAGGUCGCCGUUGAGGAAUGCCGACUUGACGUCCAUGUGGUGAACCUCCCAGCCCCGGUUCGCCGGUAGGGCAAGGCUCAGCUGCACAGACUCGAGCCUUGCCACCAGAGCGAAAACUUCCUCGAAGUCCACCGGCGCGAACCCUUCUGUCACUGGUGUUCAGAAUAACACUUUACGUUCUCCCUGCCCUUAGCCUCUCCAUGGCUUGUUCUCCAUGAUCCUGGGUUGAAGAAUACGGACAAGACAAGAAACAUCUACGGAAUAAUUUUAUUUCACAUAUACGGGGCGUUAAUUCAAAGCACUUUCAUUGAUCCCCACAACAAAUAUAACGGGUUGCAAGGCCUAGGCCUCAACCCAUACCUUACCGAACUACUCACACAUGGAGAUCAGAUGGAAUGAAGAACACAUUUUGAAGAUCGAUUGAUUGAUAAUGUCUUACAAUGGAUUAAUUGUGCGAUGCACAAUUACAAGUAUGAACUAGAGGAAGAUGAACUAUGGUGGUGAUGGUGGUGAUGGUGGCUAUGGAGAUGGUAAUGGCGACGGCUAGGGUUGAUGAGAGAGGAUGAAGGUGGCUCUGUUCUGGCUUCGCUCGCGGACGUUCUGUUGGCAUUUUGGCGUGGUCCCAUUUAUAAAAGUUGUUCAGGUGGACGAGGAGCCUCAGAAUCCACGGGAACGCCGUCUUUUGUUCUGUUUUCUCUGGUGCGCCUCCUGAUUUCUUCUAUCUCCUUUUUCACUCCUUUCCAUGUUCACACGUGAUUUCUUCCCUUUUUAGCCCAUUUCUUGUGGAAACACAUCAAAGAGAGGAUUUGUGAAAUCCUUUGCAUUCAUUAGUCAUUAGUCACAAUAUCGGAACGAAUAUCUCGGUUUUAAUGAAAUAUCUCGGUUUAAAUAAAGGGUGAAGGAAUGUAAAAAUAUCACUCAUCAGCAAGUAAUUUCUUCCUUCUCUCCUUCCCUUCUUGGGUUUGAUUUCUCCGCUGCGGCCAUGGCCAUUGAAUAUUGGCCCAGCCUCACAUUCUUCAUCCACUUCACAUGUAUUCAAUUUUUAUUGUAUACUAUAUAUACUAUACUAUAUAAUACUCUAUAUACUACCUCCAUUCACAAAUGUAACAUGUUCUAUUUUUUCUGUGAAUCGGAUGUAUAGACAUGUUUUAGUGUAUUUGUUCACUCAUUUUAGUCCUUAUGCAGUCCAUAUUGAAAUACCCAAAACAUCUUGGUAGUAUUUGUGAGCGGAGAGAGUACAUACUAUGUAUAGUUCAGCAGUACAGUACCAUGUCGACUAGUCCAGCAGUAGUCUAGAGUAGUCACGUGAGUCUCAACCUCAGCUCGACUUGUCGACUCGUAAUUCUUGGUUACAUCAAUAGGUGGUGUUUUGUCCAAUAAAUAUGAAGAGUACAUGUGUGCAAAAUCAACCUCAAUAGUUGGUGGUUUGUGUAAUUUCACUUGUAUAUAUGCACCCAGUUUUAAAUUGGAUGUAUGUUUGGUAUGUUUACUCAUUUCAGUCCAUACGUAGUCCAUAUUAAAAAUAUCCAAAACAUCUUAUAAUAAUGAACGAAGGGAGUAUUUGGGUUAUAGUGUCACCAAACACAUGAGCAAAAUAUGCCUUAUAAUUUGUCAAUUUGAGGAUAUGGACAAAUUGUUUCUUUCUUGUGCAUCUGUUGCAUUCGAUCUUCAGGCCCCAUUUUCUUAGUUCACUCAGUCAGUACGUGAACAUCUUAUAAUCCAUCAAACCUGAAUUAGAAAACACUUUGUUGUGUUCCAUUAUACUACCAAACAGCGGAAGAAAGCAGUCUGACUCUGACAUGAAAUCAAGUUCAUUGUUAUUGGUCAGCUCAGGUGUUCCACCGAAUGCCCUGUAAACAAAAUAGUAUGCGUGACAUUACGCAUCAACAUGUGAAGUGUCAGAAUUGGAUCAUGACCAAACGUUUAUUUAUUAUAUGGGUUAGUGUCAGGUCUGCUACUAAAUGUCCUUAAACAGAGUAAAAUACGUGAAUGUCAUCAACAUGUGAGGUGUCAGAACUGGAUCAUUACUGACAUUUUAUUAUUAAGCAUGAGGUUUGACCUAUGCACAGUUGACUAUAACCUGCCAUAGCUCUCAUGGCGCCUGACAGCAUUGUUGUGCAAAUUGUGGUAUGGUUACGACAACAACAACAUCAAAGCCUUUCAUUUCCAAACAAGUUGGGUCGGCUAGAGUUGAAACCCAUAAGAUCUCAAAAUCAAGUUAUAGUUCUGGCAUGUGGAUAGGAACUUCCACGCGUUCUGUCCAUGACUAUUUCCCCGGUGAUAUUCCCGUCCUUUAGAUCUUUCUUUACGUACUCCAAUGUCAUGUUUGGUCUAUCUUGACCUCUCUUGGCAUUGUCAACACGCUUUAACCGUACGCUAUGCCCAGACCAUCUUAUGUUGGACAAGCUUCUUUGCAGUCGGUGCUACCCCAAUUCUACCACGAAUAUCAUCAUUCCGGACCCGAUCCUUUCUUGUGUGGCCACAUAUUCAUCUCAAUAUGUGCAUCUCUGCUACACCUAACUGUUUUACAUGUCCCCUCAUCCAUCUUCAUAUAACAUGGUAGGUCGAAUCGACAUCCUAUAGAACCUGCCUUUUGGGUUUUGUGGCACUCUUGUAACGACGCUAGAAGCUUGGCGCCACCUCAUCCACCCAGCUUUGAUUCAAUGGCUGACAUCUUCAUGGAUAUCACGUUCAUUGACCCCACAUAUCGAAAGGUGACCUUCUGAGGUACCACCUGCCCAUCAAAGCUAACCUACUCGUUCUCAUGCCUAGUAGUACUGAAACCUAACCUCAUGUACUUAGUUUUAGUUCUACUAAGUCUAAAACCUUUCGAUUCCAAAGUCAGUCUCCACAACUCUUAACUUUGUAUUAACCUUUGUCCGACUAUCGUCGACUAGCACCACAUCAUCCACAAAGAGCAUACACCAUGGAUAUCUCCUUGUAUAUCCCUCAUGGCCUCGUCCAUUGCCAAUGCAAAAAGGUAAGGGCUCAAAGCUGACCCUUGAUGCAGUCCUAUUUUAAUCAGAAUGUCAUUAGUGUCGCCAUCACUUGUUCGAACUUGCCACAACAUUAUCGUAGAUGUCCUUGAUAAGGGUAAUGUACUUUCUUGAGUCUUUGUGUUUCUCCAAGGCUCACCACAUGACAUUCUACAGUAUCUUAUUGUAGCUUUCUCCAAGUCAAUGAUCAUGUGCAGGUCCUUAUUCUCCUGAAAAUGGGUUACAUGGUCGAUCUCUCAGGCAUGAAACCAAAUUGAUUACCGAGCAUGCUUGUCAUUCUACUUAAGCGGUGCCCAAGACUCUCCCAUAGCUUCAUUCUAUGGCUCAUCAGCUUAAUCCCACUAUAAUUAGUACAACUUUAAACAUCCCACAUGUUCUUGUAGAUCGGUACUAAUAUACUUCGCCUUCAUUUUUCGGCCAUCUUGUUUGCUCGAAAAAUGAGGUUGAAAAUCUUAAUUAACCAUGCUAUCGCUAUGUCUCAGUGGCCUCUCCACGCCUCAAUAGGGAUACAAUCAGGGUCCAUCGCCCUGUCUGCUUUCAUCCUUUUUAAAGCCUCCCUGACCUCAUUCUCCUGGAUAUUAAAUUAAAUUUACGGGGCAAUUAUUUCCAUGACUUUUUUAUGAACUUUGUCUAAACUUCAAUGAACUUACCCACCUGUCAGCAAGAUAGGAAGAAUGGGAAAAGGGGAGUAAAGAAUUGAGCAGCUCACUUCAAUGAUAAUGCAGAGAGUACUCAAAUUACUAUAUUUGCAUGUUUUAAUCCGGUUCAAGCAGAUACUAGUGUAACAUGGCAACUAUAGGGUAAACCUUAAGACGCGUUUGGUACCGCGCCGGUAAUGUUUUUGCUGUAUCGUAUUCAGGAAGCGCCGCUUUCGGAUAUUCUUGCGUAAAACGUGGAUCGUUUGGUUACUUCGGCCGAGUCCCGAUUUCCAACCCCGGCGAAUUCGGGCGGUUUCAAUUUCGUGAAGGGCUGUAUCGGGAAGCGCGUUUAUGGAAAGCAUCGUCGCCGAAACAAACGCUCGCUACGGUUUUAGAAACCGAUGUAAUCGGAAGCCGCCCUUUUUUCGGCGAACCAAACGCAUCGUUAGUUUCUUUGCUGAUUUGCUUCUUUUCUGUUUCAUCCAGUGGAUUGUAUCUGUCUUUUCCCGGCAAAAGAAAUUAGAUCGCAUCAAGUACCCAUUUGGCUUGUGCGGGAGCUAUGUUGGACUAAUGCUGCUGCUUGAUAGGUCCCACAAACAGAGAUACAGAAGAUUUCUUAAGAGAGCUAGGUGAUGCCGCUCACUUAUAAUAUGCAGCGGCCGAGGAAGACUCUGCGCUUGUAUGAUGCUUUUGUGAAAAGUGUUGUCAUUGCUGCAUAUAUCUUUUCGCUCUUUUGUCCAUAAAUUUUAUGCUGGUUUGGUCUGGCGAUCUAUCUAGUUAUCAACUGAGGUUCGAGGUCUUGUCCAUUUAUUUGAUUUGGUGCCUAUUUUUCUCCUACUAUUGUAAUGAUUGUUUUUUUUAGACAAGUACGAAUUGGUUCAUUUGUACAAAGUACUCCAAGUAACGAGCAAUAUCAGAAGUAGAGAUUGUUUAGCAGUGCUA